rnacentral:tRNA from 2 species
UUAAUUGAAGCCAAAAAGAGGCAACUUAUUGUUAAUAAGAAAAUUGAUUUAAAUCCAAUUAAA